GCCGCCAUUAUGUUUUUAAUAUUCAAUUACUUUUGUCUGGUUGCUUAUAAAAUGGGGAAUUGUGUAUUGUCUUAAAACAAGGCAAAUCUUGAAACAACCUAGAAAUAAUAUCAAAUGGCUUCUCUGGUUCUUCUAUUAUCUGAGCUUCUAAGACAUGAAAAUACAGAUUAUUUAACCUCAUCCUCACCUUCUGUUUCUAAUUCUUGUGCUGUUGUGGUUGCCAAAGGAGCUCAAUCAUUUUCCAACAAAAGGGUAUUCAGCUACUCUUCAAAGAGUUUCAACGGUGACUUCAUAGUCGCUGAGGAAUUAGAAGAACUUCCCAGGAUUUGGGUUGAUUUAGUUUGGCCUUAAACUGCAUUAAUUAUCUUGUAAUUCACUAUUUUGCAUCACUAAUUUAUUAUGUCAUCAUGACUCCUUUUUGGUGGAAAUGAACCCAAUUUCUAUAUAUGCUCUUUUUGUUUUCUUUACUGUUUUUCACAUUCCAUUUAUUUUACUUACAUAUUACCUGUAGUUUUUCUUUCUUCAUUUCUUUGUAAUUAAAAUUCACAAAUGGACAUAUAAUUG
rnacentral:lncRNA from 1 species